rnacentral:rRNA from 1 species
UACGUAGGGUGCAAGCGUUGUUCGGAAUUACUGGGCGUAAAGGGCGCGUAGGCGGCCUUCUAAGUCGAACGUGAAAUCCCCGGGCUCAACCCGGGAACUGCGUCCGAUACUGGAAGGCUUGAAUCCGGGAGAGGGAUGCGGAAUUCCAGGUGUAGCGGUGAAAUGCGUAGAUAUCUGGAGGAACACCGGUGGCGAAGGCGGCAUCCUGGACCGGUAUUGACGCUGAGGCGCGAAAGCCAGGGGAGCAAACGGG